UCCAGAGUGAAGUUUGCUUUUGGCUGGUC
rnacentral:piRNA from 1 species